rnacentral:lncRNA from 1 species
UCAUUUCUUAUACAAAUGCAAUGCAUACCAUUGAGGAAUCUUUGUAUAGAUGAUCAUAAACCAUGAAAUAACAAAAUUUCAAAACGAAUUGUAAGUAUUCCCUUUACCGUUCAUUAAAGUGUAUAAGUGUUUCUCUUAUGUUGUGGGGAUUUCGUUCAUACAAUCGGAAAAGUGUUAUAUAAGUGUUUCACUUAAACAAAUUUUGACUUCAUAAUCAGUCUAAGACACUUAAUAGGGGUUAUAUAAGUGUUAUUCAAACCGCAAAACGUUGUUUUCGGUUUAAAAACC